rnacentral:tRNA from 1 species
GCACCCAUAGCUUAAUAGGAUAGAGUAGGGGCUUGCGGAGCCUCUGAUCCCCGUUCGAUUCGGGGUGGGUGCACCA